CAGAAACUUGUGUCUUCCAGCCUCAAGAUCUGGAUCACAGGGAUUGGUGGGACCUGAAGGUUGGCUACAUGGACCUGUCCAACGUUUCCCUUUCCCGUGAUCCUCCUGAAAGCAUGGGAACAGCCACUCACGUGAGCCAUGAGAGGAGUCUCCAGGCCACACUGGAGUCAUCUGGAAGCAGGUGCAGGGUAGCCGUGCAUGCUCCACCCAGUGCAGAUGUGACAAUCCGGUCCCCUUGGUCCCACCUGUUGGUACCUUGGCCAAAAGGGUCAGGACUCUUCGGGAAGAAUGAGGAAAGAUAAGACCUCGGCACUGAGAAGAUGUGGUGCAAUUCAGCGGCUGGGUCUGUUAGAGAGCCGUGAGCACUGCGGGACUGGACAAUCUAAGUACAGGCCAACAUGAAGGAAUGCUAGAACUAACAGAAGCCCCAGCUCCACAAAUGUACAAACCAAGCCAUCUCAGGGCCCCUGAGGCCCUGAUGUCUUGCUAUGGGCUUUUAGCCAAUCAUUACGCACCUGCCUCCCAAGUGCUGAAGAAGUCAGGUAGUCCUUUCUUUCUGGCUACCCGUGUCCCUAGGUUGCCCAGGUCUUUCAUGUGGAUGCAAACAGGAGGCAGGUAUAUAAUCAUAGGCCCUGCUGUGUUCUCUUGGGGGAACAUCUAGGGUGUCGUGUUAGCAAUGUCAGGAUAGUGUUCCUUGUACAAGGCUGAGCCUGAAGCUGCUUUCUCCGUCACCCUCAGAACCAUUGGUACGGCUGGCCACCAGUUGCUAUAGCUAUUGGUAGUACUGCUUUGUGGUCGCCUGUGGGUCCAGCUGGCUGGCCCUGGUCCACACCCUCAGUGAGCUCAGUCCUCAGAGCCAGGCUGUGGGUGGGUAGUCUUGGGAACCCCUCACCCAGGGCAAAGCCAAUAGCUCUCCACUCUCUCUUUUGAGUGUGAGUGAUAAGUGGGUCCUGAGGAAAGUUAGUGGCUUGCUUGCCUCUGAAAUGUCUACUAUAUUCCUGAAAGCAGGAUCACUCCUAGGUCACUGAUAGGCUCCUAGAGCCAGUAUCUCUGCAACUGCUGUGGGGCUCAUGGGAUUCUUCUAAUGGCCAUUGUUUAUGCUGAGGCUGGUGUACUCAUUCAUUCAUUCAUUCAUUCAUCCACCCAUCCCAAUGUGACGAUUAGCGAUAACUGUCAAUGUGAUACAAUCUAGAGUAAUUUAGGAAGAGAGUCUCAGUAAAGGACUGUCUAGAUCGGGUUGACCUGGGGCCAUGUAUGUCUAUAAGGGCAUGUAUUGAUUACAUUAAUUGAGCCUAAAAGUGGGUGGCACUAUUCCCUGGGUUUGGGUCCUGGACUAUAUAAAACAAGAGAAAGUGAGUCAGAUGGAGGCAUGCAUUCUCUGCCCUUGAUAGUAGAUGAGGGUGGCUGCUUCCAGGUCCUGCUGUCUUGAAUUCCCUGCUGUGAUGGACCAAAUCCUGGAACUGUGACCUUCCUCCCCUAAGUUGCUUUUGUCAGGGUGGCUUUUUUCUUGUCUCUUUCUCUGUUUCUUUGUUUCUUCCUUUGCUUCUCUCUCUCUCUCUCUCUCUCUCUCUCCCUCUCUCUCUCUCUCUCUCUCUCUCAUUUCAGCAACAGAAAAGAAAUUAGAACACCAUCUAUCUACCUAACCCAGUUGGUGGCAGGAGAACUAUACCUGGCCCCAGGCUCCUAAAGAGAGAGCUCAGGUAAGCUGCUGCACAGAGUCCAGAAGAGGGUGACAGUGAGUGACUGGCAGGACCAAAAGCACUAUAGCUAUGGUCAGGAGGACCCCUGGAGGUGACAAGUGGAGGAGCCCUGGGAUGGAGCAGGGGAGGACAGUUAGGGUCAAGGAAGUGAUAGGGCACGAAGAGCCAGGAGGUGGACGGGGCCAAGUGGGUCUCAUGUGGCCCCAGGAUCCAGGCACAUCUUGACUCUGCCUGCCACAAGGGACCCAUACUCUUCAGAGCUUCUGACCUGUAGGAUCUAUCCAUCUGAGUGGCUUGAAGUCAUGCCUUUCUCCAUGGUAACCUUCACCUACCCCCUUUCUCCUGCCCAAAGAUGCUCUGUGUCUUCACCUUCUGGGUUAGUGACCAAGGGCUACUACCAUAGCAACCAGGGAUACUCCUCCCCCCAUCUCUCUCUUCCUUCUCUCCCUUUCCUGAGUCUUGAGUAAGCUUGUCCCAUGUUAAUCCUUUCUCUCCCUCCCCUUUACCCUCCCUUCUUCUCUCCCCUUCUUACCCCUCUUCCUUCCCACCCCACUUAUAGCAAUGUUACCCCCAUCAAGGUUCUGGCCCUGCCCAUCUUCCCAACUCCCCUUUCCUGGGGAUCUCUAGGCCAUUUCUGCUCCAUGGUGGGCACAGGACACAUUUACACAUUCACUCUCACAAGUGAGGGAAGGAAAGCCAGUGUUGUAACUCCAGGACUCCUGGUUCCAACCUCCUCUCAGCCUCCUGUUACCUCCUUCCAUGAGCAGGACCAGCUCCUUGCUGAUCCUUGAGACCCAAGAGCUGCUGAGACUUAUGAUGUCACCCCCGGUAGUGGAGGUGGCACCAUCUGUCCUUAGCUGGUGUACUGGCUGGUUUUGUGUGUCAACUUGACACAGGCUACAGUUACCACAGAGAAAGGAGCUUCAGUUGAGGAAAUGCCUCCAUGAGAUCCAGCUGUGGGACAUUUUCUCAAUUAGUGAUCAAGGGAGGAGGGCCCAUGGUGGGUGGUGCCACCCCUGGGCUGGUAGUCUUGGGUUCUAUAAGAAAGCAAGCUGAGCAAGGCAGGGGAAGCAAGCCAGUAAGAAACAUCCCUCCAUGGCCUCUGCAUCAGCUCCUGCUUCCUGACCUGCUUGAGUUGCAGUCCUGACUUCCUUGGUGAUGAACAGCAGUGUGGAAGUGUAAGCUGAAUAAACCCUUUCCUCCCCAACUUGCUUUUUGGUCGUGAUGUUUGUGCAGGAAUUGAAACCCUGACUAAGAGAUGGGAUUGAGAGCUGAGCCUGCAGGAGAGGGGCCAUCUCCUCAGACACCAGGCUUGUCAUAUCUCCCUAACUUCUUUAAAAAUCUAGAAGAUGAUGUGCCAUGCCUCCAGCCAUAUCCUGGAGUUGGCUGUUUCCACCCAGACCUACCUGGACUAUAGCUGGUGUUUGGAAAUUGUCAUCCAAAACAACUACUCCUGCCCCAUGAAAGGCUGAGUCUCCGGUAAGGGAGGAGAGUCAGGAGGGCUGGCCAGGUCUCCUGAAUGCAUUCUCAUUGACCUUAACAACCAGGGGUAGCCUGAUGGAUGAACGGACAUAAAAGAGAAAGCAAGUGCACCCUACAAUAGGCUAAAGACCAAAGACACCCCUUCCUUCUUCCAUCAGCCUUUCUGUGAAGUCAUGAGGUCAAGUCCACGUACCCAUGGCGAUAGCCUGGUUUUCUAGAAGGCUCUCAGACCCAAACCUCAUCUUGGACCCCACAAUAACACAUAUUUUCUCUUUUCUGGCAGUGACCUGUUCUGUGCAUCCCCCUAAGUACGUCUCCAUGACGACACACUCUUGGAAAUCAAAACUGCAUCAGAGGUAUUCCGAGGUGGGUGCACUGGAAAGCCUCCACUAGAGUGCCUGCUUCCCGGGCAGCUUGGGCUUGGCAGCUGGGCAGGAAAUUGCACCAUCUGCCCCACUAAGUGCUUGGCAGCACACAGUGGGAGGACAGGGUUGUGUGUGACCCAGAUCACCUUAAAUGGGACUUUAGGAACCCAUCCAUCGCCUCAUCUCUAAGGACAAUAGGGCCAGGGGGGGGGGCGGAGUUGGCCCUCGCACCUGGCCAGGGCUGGCUGAGUGAUUCUAAUGCUCUCUCAGCUGGGGUUUUCCCCAGGGCUCUUACAGCUGCCUGGAGAAACCAGUAGUACCCCACCCACGGGAACUGGUUUUCCUUCAUACAUAGGGUGGAGGCCAAUGUAGCUGGAGGCCCAGUCGAAAGCAGAAACUGAACAGGCUGUACCCAAGAAUGCAAAUGUCCCCAUCCACAGAAAAGGGAAGGGGCACCAUCCUCCACUGAAACUGGCAGCUGGCUGUGAGCACAGCUGAGCAAAAGUUCUUCCCCCAUCCCCCAGUGUCAACUCUGUCCCACUGUGGGGAGUGGCAGUAGUCAGGGAGGCAUCUCUGGUUAAUGGUGCCACUGCUGCUCUGCCUUUGUCAUGGACAUCCUGUCACAGGGACCCAGUUUGUUACCCCCCAAUUCUACCAGAGUGCUGCCAUACCUUCAUGGUCAGCACACUGUGCCCAACCGCCUUGGUCUCUCUCCUGGAUAUGCUAGAAGCUCGGGUCCUGCCCAAGGCAGGGCUGGGGAGGAGGAGCCCAGCCCCACGGAGGAGCACUGAGCUCUGCAGGUAGCUGUGUGCUUACCCAGGAUAACAAGAGGCCCAGGGUGAAGCCCUCCCCUGAAGGUGGGAGCCUGGCCAAUGAGAGAAGUCUAGUCACAACAGCCUCUCCGGGGGACUGUCUACCUGGAAGGCCAUUCCCACCAACACACACAUAGUCAGGCUGGCACUUAGCAGGAAGUAUCUCAAUUCUCAGGGCUUCCUGCUAUAAAGUAACUCUAGUCCUUGGAGUUAAGCUCAUGGGUUACCAACAAAGACUCAGCAGGAAGCUUCUGAUAGGACCAUGUCAUGGAAAGGUCCAGAAGGAAGGUUCGACUUGGCAGCUCACAACUGGGGCCACUGUGGGCCACUUAGAGACCAGUAGGUCAGGCUGAAACACCUUUUAGUUCUUUUCUGCCUAUAUUUCCUGCAGGCAGCAGAAGGAAUGGCUCCCAAGCACAGCACAUGGGUCUGUGGCCAGAAGGUCUAAGCUAUGACCUUAGGUAUCUCUUUUCUCAAUAGAUUACCAUCGUAAGGAUGGAGAGAUGGCUUGAUUGAAAGCAUCUGCCACCCAAGCUCACAGGCUGCCUGCCUAGCCUUAUCAGCAAGCUCUAGGUUCAACAGGAGAUUCUAUCUCUAACAGUAAGGCUUUGAUGGAGGAAGCCUCCAGUGUUGACCCCUGUCCUCCGCAUGCAUGCUCAUACAUAGGUCACAAACACACACAACUUAUCAUUUUAAUAAUUUCUUUUCAUUUUAUGUGCAUUGGUGUUUUGUCUGCAUGUAUGUCUGUGUGAGGUUGUUGGAUCCUCUGGAACCGGAGCUUCAGACAGUUGUGAGCUGCAGUGCAGGUUCUGGGAAUUGAACCCAGGUCCUCUGGAAGAACAUCCAGUGCUCUUAGCCCCUCAGCAAUCUCUCCAGGCCCAUUUGAAUCGUUUCUUAGGUGUGGUACUGAACGUGCUCCCUAUUGGGCAGUGGUCCCUGCCAUCAACUUCUCAUUGGUCCACACUAACGCUUAAUCUAACUAAACCAUAUUCCCUCAGGUCCCCUCCAUCCUUUGUACCCACCGUUCUGUGUUCUGUCUACAAAUCUGACUCUAGAGACUUUGAGACAAGGCCUCAUGUACCCCAGACUGUCCAACGCUGUAUAGGUGAAGUUGACCUUGAACUCCUGACCCUCCUGUGACCUCACUGGUGCUGGGGUAAGAGACUUACAGGACCAUGCUGGCUUCUAUAUAGACUAGACCAUUUCCAACAUCUUUCACUCAAGGUUUCCUCCUGUGAUGUCAGGUUUUAAGAUUCCCCGCCUUUUUAGGAACAGGCAGUAUUAGGUUGCACGUAUCUUCUCACCUGGUGAUGGGUACUGUUAAGUGCUUCUGGUUUUGUGUGACUCCCGUGAAUAGCUCAGCAGUAAACAUUAUUAUGUGCACAGAUACAUUGUUAAGUUCUGCUCUCAAUUCUUUUGGGAAGAAGUGAAAUUGCUAAGUCAAACGGGACUGUAUUUAACUAAAUGAGGAAUUGCCACUCUUAAAUUUUGUUUACGGUUUGGGGUUUCUCUGGAUGUUUCCCUAAUAUUUUGGGGAAUAUAUUUCCCCAAUUUUUGAAAACAAAAAAACAAAAAACUCUGUGUUUUGUGUC